AGGACGAACGCUGGCGGCGUGCUUAACACAUGCAAGUCGAGCGGAAAGGCCUUUCGGGGUACUCGAGCGGCGAACGGGUGAGUAACACGUGAGUAAUCUGCCCAUCGCUUCAGGAUAGCCAUCGGAAACGGUGAUUAAUACUGGAUAUGACAUUCCUUCGCAUGUUGGGGUGUGGAAAGUUUUUUCGGCGGUGGAUGUGCUCGCGGCCUAUCAGCUUGUUGGUGGGGUAAUGGCCUACCAAGGCUUUGACGGGUAGCCGGCCUGAGAGGGUGACCGGCCACACUGGGACUGAGACACGGCCCAGACUCCGUACGGGAGGCAGCAGG
rnacentral:rRNA from 1 species